rnacentral:lncRNA from 1 species
UUGGGUACCGGGGUCAAGAGUCCCACUGGUUUGGGACUCUUCGAUCAGGGUUACAUAUCGAUGAAUUCUGAUACCCGAUUACCCAUCGGAUUUGGACUCAAUAUUUAUGAGAGGUUUAAUUAGUGAUUUGAUCAUUAAUUAACUCAAUUUGAUUGAGUAAUUAUUUUUGGAUCAAGUCCAAUUGAAUUGGAUUCAGUUGGGUUUGAUCCGAUUAGGUUAAGAGUUGACCUAAUCGUCGAGAUGGUUUGGUCCC